GAAACGAUAGGUAAUGCCGGAUGUGAUCGACCUCCGCAUGGAGGUCUGUUUAAAGGCGGGGAAUCUUCGGAUCCUGUCGCAAAGAGAUAGGCCCAUAUCCUAUCAGCUUGUUGGUGAGGUAAUGGCUCACCAAGGCUUACGGGUAGCCGGCCUGAGAGGGUGAUCGGCCACACUGGGACUGAGACACUGCCCAGACUCCUACGGGAGGCUGCAGUCGAGAAUCAUUGACAAUGCACGAAAGUGUGAUCAUGCGACGCCGCGUGGAGGAAGACGGCCUUCGGGUUGUAAACUCCUGUCAGCAGGGAAGAAAGAUAGCCUUACUAAUAUCAGGGUUAUUUGACGGUACCUGCAGAGGAAGUCACGGCUAACUCUGUGCCAGCAGCCGCGGUAAUACAGAGGUGGCGAACGUUGUUCGGAUUUACUGGGCGUAAAGGGUCCGCAGGCGGAUCGGUAUGUCGGAUGUGAAAGCUCACAGCUCAACUGUGGAAUUGCAUUCGAAACUGCCGAUCUAGAGUACUGGAGGGGAGAAGGGAAUUCUUGGUGUAGCGGUGAAA
rnacentral:rRNA from 1 species